UACGGGGGGGGCAAGCGUUGUUCGGAAUUACUGGGCGUAAAGGGCUCGUAGGCGGCCAACUAAGUCAGACGUGAAAUCCCUCGGCUUAACCGGGGAACUGCGUCUGAUACUGGAUGGCUUGAGUUUGGGAGAGGGAUGCGGAAUUCCAGGUGUAGCGGUGAAAUUCGUAGAUAUUCGGAAGAACACCAGUGGCGAAGGCGGCUCACUGGACUGGUAUUGACGCUGAGGUGCGAAAGCGUGGGGAGCAAACAGG
rnacentral:rRNA from 1 species